rnacentral:rRNA from 1 species
UGAGGAAUAUUGGUCAAUGGGCGAGAGCCUGAACCAGCCAAGUAGCGUGCAGGAUGACGGCCCUAUGGGUUGUAAACUGCUUUUAUGUGGGGAUAAAGUGCGUGACGUGUCAUGCAUUGCAGGUACCACAUGAAUAAGGACCGGCUAAUUCCGUGCCAGCAGCCGCGGUAAUACGGAAGGUCCGGGCGUUAUCCGGAUUUAUUAGGUUUAAAGGGAGCGUAGGCUGUCUAUUAAGCGUGUUGUGAAAUUUACCGGCUCAACCGGUGGCUUGCAGCGCGAACUGGUCGACUUGAGUAUGCAGGAAGUAGGCGGAAUUCAUGGUGUAGCGGUGAAAUGCUUAGAUAUCAUGACGAACUCCGAUUGCCCAGGCAGCUUACUGUAGCAUAACUGACGCUGAUGCUCGAAAGUGCGGGUAUCAAACAGG